rnacentral:rRNA from 1 species
GACGAACCGUCCAAACGUUUAUUCGGAAUCACUGGGCUUACAGAGUUCGUAGGCGGUCUGGAAAGUUGGGUGUGAAAUCCCUCGGCCUAACCGAGGAACUGCGCUUGAAACUACCAGACUCGAGGGAGAUAGAGGAAAGCGGAACUGAUGGUGGAGCGGUGAAAUGCGUUGAUAUCAUCAGGAACACCGGUGGCGAAGGCGCUUUCUGGGUCUUACCUGACGCUGAGGAACGAAAGCCAGGGGAGCGAACGGG